UUAAAUCAGCUGUCUUAUUUAGAUAUUAUCAGUAAGAAAAACAGUAUGUUUAAGUGAUUGAUAUCAUGAAGAACGUAACAGUUACUGUUUUUACUUUUUUAGUAGCUUUUGCAGCAACUUCCUUGGCUAUUAGCCAAACUUGGGGCAUCACCAGUAACAAGGAUAGGGUCUUAUCCCAUGACCGAAUCUUCAAUCGUACUUAUUAUCCUUAUGGCGUUACAAGAACAGUUCAGUUCCCAGCAGAUGAAAUAAUACACAACAUGACAAUAACAGGAAUUCAUGCUGUUGAUAAUUCCCGAAACCAAUCAAACAGCCAUUCAAUCCUUUUAGCUGGAGGUCCUGGGUUUAACUUUCUUACAAUCAAUUUCCAAGCUGGAUCAAUAGGUAACUUAGAUUUCCAACUAGUAAUUUAUGGAAGGAAAUAAAAAGACAAAGUGCGGAAAAUAAACUUCUUUGAUUGAAAUAACA